rnacentral:lncRNA from 1 species
CAUGCAAAUAGCUGAUUUUUCGGGAAAAUUGUAACUUUGCGUGAAUAGUUAAGGGGGCUUAAACUAAACCAAAUUGUCUGAAAUUUUGUACAGUAAUUAAAAUCCCGACAAAUUUUCCAUUUGUUAACUCAAAAUAUGAUUGCAGCUUUUAAAUUUUGUGCGCGAGCCAUUUUUAGUUUGUUGGAAAAGACACCCCCCCCCCUGGUUCACAAAAU